AGUGAACGCUGGCGGUAUGCCUAACACAUGCAAGUCGAACGGCAGCACAGUAAGAGCUUGCUCUUACGGUUGGCGAGUGGCGGACGGGUGAGGAAUACAUCGGAAUCUACUUUUUCUUGGGGGAUAACGUAGAGAAACUUACGCUAAUACCGCAUACGACCUACGGGUGAAAGCAGGAGAUCUUCGGACCUUUCGCGAUUGAAUGAGCCGAUGUCGGAUUAGCUAGUUGGCGGGGUAAAGGCCCACCAAGGCGACGAUCCGUAGCUGGUCUGAGAGGAUGAUCAGCCACACUGGAACUGAGACACGGUCCAGACUCCUACGGGAGGCAGCAGUGGGGAAUAUUGGACAAUGGGCGAAAGCCUGAUCCAGCCAUACCGCGUGGGUGAAGAAGGCCUUCGGGUUGUAAAGCCCUUUUGUUGGGAAAGAACAGCAGCAGGUUAAUCCCCCGCUGUUCUGACGGUACCCAAAGAAUAAGCACCGGCUAACUUCGUG
rnacentral:rRNA from 1 species